UGGGGAAUAUUGCACAAUGGGGGAAACCCUGAUGCAGCGACGCCGCGUGAACGAAGAAGGUAUUCGUAUCGUAAAGUUCUGUCCUAUGGGAAGAUAAUGACAGUACCAUAGAAGAAAGCUCCGGCUAAAUACGUGCCAGCAGCCGCGGUAAUACGUAUGGAGCGAGCGUUGUCCGGAAUUAUUGGGCGUAAAGGGUACGCAGGCGGUUUAAUAAGUCGAAUGUUAAAGAUCGGGGCUCAACCCCGCAAAGCAUUGGAAACUGAUAAACUUGAGUAGUGGAGCGGAAAGUGGAAUUCCUAGUGUAGUGGUGAAAUACGUAGAUAUUAGGAGGAAUACCAGUAGCGAAGGCGACUUUCUGGACACAAACUGACGCUGAGGUACGAAAGCGUGGGGAGCAAACAGG
rnacentral:rRNA from 1 species